UGGAAGCUUUCGCGAUCUGAUCGAUACUGCAUCCACGAUCGCGUGCAUCGCGCCAACAGCCGCUACAUUAUUUAUUUGCCUGCACUUUUUACGACGUACGACCUACGACAUUCGUAGGUGCAUACAUUACCGACAUCGUCUUCGCUCCUGCACCAGGCUUUACUUCAUUGUUUUGACCGGCAGGUAGCACCUUCCGGUGGCCAAGAAUACCUCUUGCGUGCCGCGUGCCCGCUCCCAUUGUUUAUCAGGGACUUAACCUUUGGGUUCGGCCACUGCCAAAGCUCUCUUCUCCGCCUUUCCAUUCCGCUUGCCGUUGGUACCUUAUCAGCGGGUGAUUCCGCAGUAGAUAGUCCUCUCGGAAGGUGCAAGGGAUGUGCGUCUGGCUGGAAUUUGGCAGCCACCAGCUGUGCUGCUGCGGGCCAUAGCCAUGCUGUAUCGCUAAGUCGACAAUGUGACGUCCAGUCCGCUGCAGGGACAUAAUGUCAGCAGCCCCCUCAUUCAUAUGCGCCGAAUCAAACGCUGGGCUUCAGCUUCGACACACAAGUCUUAUGCACCCUACGCUACGCUGCCACAAGCUGAGUCCUAUCAGAUUUUCCCACGCCAGAUGAAAUCCUUUUAAGCAUUACCGAGCCGUAUUCGAGGCAGACCGAGUGCUACCCCAGCAAGACAGAAUCGUUUCCCAGGAGGACAGAAGCGCAUUCCUUGCAAGAGCCCGAUCCUAACAACCGCUGUCAUCUUCCGACCUGGCCAUCGACAACUAUCUGAAAGACUUUGGCUAUGGCAAACAAGGGAGGGGCUACGCGGACUACUAGACUCUGGAUAGAUCUCGUUGUUGUUAAGUUUAAGGAUAUACAAGUCUAUAUGUAGUAGUUAUAUAUGAUAUAUACAUAUAUAGAUAUAAAUGUUGUCCACUUGCUUAUUUUUUUAUACUAAGUUAAUUUAUUCUUAAUAAAAUUAUUGAAUAAUCGUC